rnacentral:rRNA from 1 species
GCUUGAGUUUGAUCCUGGCUCAGGAUGAACGCUGGCGGCGUGCCUAAUACAUGCAAGUCGAACGGGAUCCCAAGAUUUCGGUUUUGGGUGAGAGUGGCGCACGGGUGAGUAACACGUAGCUGACCUGCCCUUUGCUGGGGGAUAACCCGGGGAAACCCGGGCUAAUACCGCGUAAGCUCAAUGGUCUUAGAAGCCAUUGAGGAAAGUGUAUGGCAACGGCGAAGGAGGGGGCUGCGGGCCAUCAGCUAGUUGGUGAGGUAACGGCUCACCAAGGCGAAGACGGCUAGGGGACCUGAGAGGGUGACCCCCCACACUGGGACUGAGACACGGCCCAGACUCCUACGGGAGGCAGCAGUAAGGAAUAUUGCCCAAUGGACGCCAGUCUGAGGCAGCAACGCCGCGUGGGGGAUGACGGUCUUCGGAUUGUAAACUCCUUUUCUGUGUGAAGAGCAAGGACGGUAGCACAGGAAGAAGUCUCGGCUAACUACGUGCCAGCAGCCGCGGUAAAACGUAGGAGGCGAGCGUUAUCCGGAGUUACUGGGCGUAAAGCGCGCGUAGGCGGUGAGGCAAGUGGUGCGUGAAAGCUCCCGGCUCAACUGGGAGAGGCCGUACCAAACUGCCUGACUAGAGAGAGACAGAGGUCGACGGAAUUCCGGGUGGAGUGGUGAAAUGCGUAGAGAUCCGGAGGAACACCAGUGGCGAAGGCGGUCGGCUGGGUCUUAUCUGACGCUGAGGUGCGAAAGCGUGGGUAGCGAACGGGAUUAGAAACCCCGGUAGUCCACGCCGUAAACGAUGCAGACUAGAUGUUGGUAGCCGUAGAGGUUAUGAGUGUCGAAGCAAACGCGCUAAGUCUGCCGCCUGGGGAGUACG